rnacentral:rRNA from 1 species
UGGGGAAUUUUGGACAAUGGGGGCAACCCUGAUCCAGCGACGCCGCGUGAAGGAUGAAGGCCUUCGGGUUGUAAACUUCUUUUAGAGGGGAUGAAUGGGUUAGUGAAUAACUAACUGUGACAGUACCCUUUGAAUAAGCCACGGCUAACUACGUGCCAGCAGCCGCGGUAAUACGUAGGUGGCAAGCGUUACUCGGAAUCACUAGGCGUAAAGCGCAGGUAGGCGGUUGGAUAAGUUUCUUGUGAAAGCUCCCGGCUUAACUGGGAGAGGCCAAGGAAUACUGUUCGACUAGAGUGUGGUAGGGGAAACUGGAAUUCCCGGUGUAGCGGUGAAAUGCGUAGAUAUCGGGAGGAAUACCUAUGGCGAAAGCAAGUUUCUGGGCCAUCACUGACGCUGAGCUGCGAAAGCUAGGGGAGCAAACAGG